rnacentral:rRNA from 1 species
CAGAGGUGGCAAGCGUUGUUCGGAAUUACUGGGCGUAAAGGGCGCGUAGGCGGCCAUCUAAGUCAGACGUGAAAUCCCCCGGCUUAACCUGGGAACUGCGUCUGAUACUGGACGGCUUGAGUAUGGGAGAGGGAUGUAGAAUUCCAGGUGUAGCGGUGAAAUGCGUAGAUAUCUGGAGGAAUACCGGUGGCGAAGGCGGCAUCCUGGACCAUUACUGACGCUGAGGCGCGAAAGCUAGGGGAGCAAACGGGAUUAGAUACCCCGGUAGUCCUAGCCCUAAACGAUGAAUACUUGGUGUGGCGGGUAUCGAUCCCUGCCGUGCCGAAGCUAACGCAUUAAGUAUUCCGCCUGGGGAGUACGGUCGCAAGGCUG